rnacentral:piRNA from 1 species
AUAGCAGGAGGAACAAACACGACCCAUU